AUACAGAGAGUGCAAGCGUUAAUCGGAAUAACUGGGCGUAAAGCGCACGUAGGUGGACAUUUAAGUCGGAUGUGAAAGCCCUAGGCUUAACCUAGGAACUGCAUCCGAAACUGGGCGUCUUGAGUAUAGUAGAGGGAAGUGGAAUUUCCGGUGUAGCGGUGAAAUGCGUAGAUAUCGGAAAGAACACCAGUGGCGAAGGCGGCUUCCUGGACUAAUACUGACACUGAGGUGCGAAAGCGUGGGGAGCAAACAGGAUUAGAAACCCCAGUAGUCC
rnacentral:rRNA from 1 species